GACGAACGCUGGCGGCGUGCCUAACACAUGCAAGUCGAGCGAAUGAAGUUCCUUCGGGAAUGGAUUUAGCGGCGGACGGGUGAGUAACACGUGGGCAACCUGCCUCAUAGAGGGGAAUAGCCUUCCGAAAGGGAGAUUAAUACCGCAUAAGAUUGUAGUAUCACAUGGUACAGCAAUUAAAGGAGCAAUCCGCUGUGAGAUGGGCCCGCGGCGCAUUAGCUAGUUGGUGAGGUGACGGCUCACCAAGGCGACGAUGCGUAGCCGACCUGAGAGGGUGAUCGGCCACAUUGGGACUGAGACACGGCCCAGACUCCUACGGGAGGCAGCAGUGGGGAAUAUUGCACAAUGGGGGAAACCCUGAUGCAGCAACGCCGCGUGAGUGAUGACGGCCUUCGGGUUGUAAAGCUCUGUCUUCAGGGACGAUAAUGACGGUACCUGAGGAGGAAGCCACGGCUAACUACGUGCCAGCCGCCGCAGUAACAC
rnacentral:rRNA from 1 species